ensembl:lncRNA
CUCUGGCAGGAAGAGCCCUCGCCCCUCCAAUCUGUUUCCCUCUGGCAGCCAGAGCCCUCGCCCCUCCUCUCUGUUUCCCUCUGGCAGGCAGAGCACUCACCCCUCCAUACUGUUUCCUUCUGUCAGGCAAAGCCCUCGCCCCUCCAGUCUGUUUCCCUCUGGCAUUCAGAGCCCUCGCCCCUCCAUACUCUUUCCCUCUGUCAGGUAGAGCGCUCGCCCUGCCAUUCUGUUUCCCUCUGUCAGGCAGAGCCCUCACCCCUCCAAUCUGUUUCCCUCUGGCAGGCAGAGCCCUCGCUCCUCCAUUCUGUUUCCCUCUGGCAGGCAGAGCUCUCGCCCCUCCGCUCUGUUUCCCUCUGUCGGGCAGAGCCCUCGCCCUGCCACUCUGUUUCCCUCUGGCAGGCAGAGCCCUCGCCCCUCCAAUCUGUUUCCCUCUGGCAGGCAGAGCCCUCGCCCCUCCAAUCUGUUUCCCUCUGGCAGGCAGAGCCCUCGCCCCUCCAUGCUGUUUCCCUCUGGCAUUCAGAGCCCUCGCCCCUCCAAUCUGUUUCCCUCUGUCAGGCAGAGCCCUCGACCCUCCAAUCUGUUUCCCUCUGGCAGGCAGAGCCCUCGCUCCUCCAUUCUGUUUCCCUCUGGCAGGCAAAGCCCUCGCCCCUCUCUGUUUCCCUCUGGCAGGCAGAGCCCUCGCCCCUCCAAUCUGUUUCCCUCUGGCAGGCAGAGCCCUCGCCCCUCCACGCUGUUUCCCUCUGGCAGGCAGUGUCCUCGCCCCUCCAAUCUGU